AACGAACGCUGGCGGCAUGCUUAACACAUGCAAGUCGAACGGCACCUUCGGGUGCAGUGGCGCACGGGUGAGUAGCGCGUGGGAACCUGCCCUCUUGUGGGGGAUAACCGAUGGAAACGUCGGCUAAUACCGCAUGCGCCCCUGGGGAAACCUGGGGGGAAAGAUUUAUCGCAGGAGGAGGGGCCCGCGUCGGAUUAGCUAGUUGGUGGGGUAACGGCCUACCAAGGCGAUGAUCCGUAGCUGGUCUGAGAGGAUGAUCAGCCACACUGG
rnacentral:rRNA from 1 species